rnacentral:rRNA from 1 species
UACGUAGGGUGCAAGCGUUUGUCCGGAAUUAUUGGGCGUAAAGAGCUCGUAGGCGGUUUGUCGCGUCUGCUGUGAAAACUCGGGGCUUAACCCCGGGCCUGCAGUGGGUACGGGCAGACUAGAGUGCGGUAGGGGAGUCUGGAAUUCCUGGUGUAGCGGUGAAAUGCGCAGAUAUCAGGAGGAACACCGGUGGCGAAGGCGGGACUCUGGGCCGAUACUGACGCUGAGGAGCGAAAGCGUGGGGAGCAAACAGG